rnacentral:lncRNA from 13 species
CCACCUCUGUAAUGUGAAAUGGAGGUCUGGAUGGGGGUCAGUACACAGGUUUAGGUGGGGCAGGACUGCAGUAGAUGAACAUGAAUAUUUUAUUCACGUCUCCGAUUGCCUUUCAUCCAGCAUCCGUCAGUGUGCCAACUUCACUGAUGAGAAUCAGAGAGAGAGAAGUACUAUUUGAAGAGCUAGAUGGAGCAGGGAGCUGAUGCCUUCUGACCGAUGACAUGUACAAACCAAUGUAUAUGGGAAUUACUCUGCAAAACAGCUGGAUUGGAGUUGUUUCAGAAAAUACCUGUAAUUCAACUGUAGUAUGCUGAAAUCACCCGGAGAAAUAUCAGUGUGAAGCGUGAGAGAGGACUUGUGGGAGGGAUCUAUUGAUGCGUGGGAGGGAUCUAUUGAUGCGUGGGAGGGAGUCGGUGCUGAAGGGUGAAGUAACUUCGCUGUGAGCUCAGUUGAACGGAAGACGUUGUCUGCUGAAAGAUUAAAGACGAGAAAGGAAGAGUUUGUGUGUGUGUGUGUAGCGGUGUGAGGGAUGCCUCGGCGUAGCCGGGCCCGUGACAACGGGGCUGAGGUGAGCCAGCGAACCCCCCGAGGAAGGAGAAAAGACCCCCAAGUUGAGGAGCCUUCCACACCCACCAGAGAGGUACAGUACUACAAACUGGUGACACUGUUGACCAACUUGCUGUGUAUUUAUCAUGGAGAUAAACUGAUCUCUCUGCUCUGUCAUCACAGGCCACAGGAUCUAUGAUGCCACAGGAUCGGUUGCCUAUGAUUGGCUCCUCUGGGAGUAAGCCAGCAGAAUCUCCCCUCCUCCACAGCCAAGCCGACUAUGACAACCCACCAGCGCCCCUCUCAGGCCGCACGGAGGAAGCGCACCCAGACGGGCCAGACCUCCGCCAACCUUCCCCAGGACAGCAUGACCCCGUGGGGCGGACUGUCCCUAUCCGAAUCCUCCUUCACCAGCAUCCCUCCGCCGCCGCCCGCCCCUCUCCCCACACCCCUGCCCCCCCAACUCCCCCGUCACCUGUCGGGGGGUGUCGGUGUCCGGAGCCCUGCCCCCUCACCCCCAGUCACAGCGCCCACAGAGGGGAGCAGGGCUGUGAGGGUGAGGCGCAGGGUGCCCCCCCAGCACAGGCUCCCCCGUGCCCCCCGCUUGCCCCCACUCAGACCCGUCNNNNNNNNNNCGGGCCAGACCUCCGCCAACCUUCCCCAGGACAGCAUGACCCCGUGGGGCGGACUGUCCCUAUCCGAAUCCUCCUUCACCAGCAUCCCUCCGCCGCCGCCCGCCCCUCUCCCCACACCCCUGCCCCCCCAACUCCCCCGUCACCUGUCGGGGGGUGUCGGUGUCCGGAGCCCUGCCCCCUCACCCCCAGUCACAGCGCCCACAGAGGGGAGCAGGGCUGUGAGGGUGAGGCGCAGGGUGCCCCCCCAGCACAGGCUCCCCCGUGCCCCCCGCUUGCCCCCACUCAGACCCG